AGUAGAGUGGCGCACGGGUGAGUAACACGUGGGUAAUCUGCCCUUAAGCUUGGGAUAACCUGUCGAAAGGCGGGCUAAUACCGAAUAAUAUUCAUGAUUGAUAGGAUCGUGAAUCAAAGAUUUAUCGCUUAAGGAUGAGCCCGCGGCCCAUUAGCUAGUUGGUGGGGUAAUGGCCUACCAAGGCUACGAUGGGUAGCUGGUCUGAGAGGAUGAUCAGUCACACUGGAACUGGAACACGGUCCAGACUCCUACGGGAGGCAGCAGUGGGGAAUAUUGCGCAAUGGGGGAAACCCUGACGCAGCGACGCCGCGUGGGUGAGGAAGGUUUUAGGAUCGUAAAGCCCUGUCAAGUGGGAAGAAGAAAGUGACGGUACCACUAAAGGAAGCACCGGCUAACUCCGUGCCAGCAGCCGCGGUAAUACGGAGGGUGCAAGCGUUAUUCGGAUUUAUUGGGCGUAAAGAGAGCGUAGGCGGUCUGUUAAGUCAGAGGUGAAAGCCCCAGGCUCAACCUGGGAAGUGCCUUUGAAACUGGCAGACUUGAGUACGAGAGAGGGUAGCGGAAUUCCAAGUGUAGAGGUGAAAUUCGUAGAUAUUUGGAGGAACACCGGUGGCGAAGGCGGCUACCUGGACCGAUACUGACGCUGAGGCUCGAAAGCGUGGGGAGCAAACAGGAUUAGAUACCCUGGUAGUCCACGCCCUAAACGAUGAGUACUAG
rnacentral:rRNA from 1 species